rnacentral:rRNA from 1 species
GACGAACGCUGGCGGCGUGCCUAAUACAUGCAAGUCGAACGAAGCUGUUUUAACUGGUGCUUGCACCGACUUAAACAACUGAGUGGCGAACGGGUGAGUAACACGUGGGUAACCUGCCCCAAAGCGGGGGAUAACAUUUGGAAACAGAUGCUAAUACCGCAUAACCACAGAAACCACAUGGUUUCUGUGUCAAAGAUGGUUUCGGCUAUCACUUUGGGAUGGAUCCGCGGCGUAUUAGCUAGUUGGUAAGGUAAUGGCUUACCAAGGCAAUGAUACGUAGCCGAACUGAGAGGUUGAUCGGCCACAUUGGGACUGAGACACGGCCCAAACUCCUACGGGAGGCAGCAGUAGGGAAUCUUCCACAAUGGACGAAAGUCUGAUGGAGCAACGCCGCGUGAGUGAAGAAGGUUUUCGGAUCGUAAAACUCUGUUGUCAGAGAAGAACGUGUGCGAGAGUAACUGCUCGUGCAGUGACGGUAUCUGGCCAGAAAGCCACGGCUAACUACGUGCCAGCCGCCGCGGUAAUAC